rnacentral:rRNA from 1 species
CCUACGGGUGGCAGCAGUGAGGAAUAUUGGUCAAUGGGCGAGAGCCUGAACCAGCCAAGUAGCGUGAAGGAUGACUGCCCUACGGGUUGUAAACUUCUGUUAUAAAGGAAUAAAGUGAGGCACGUGUGCCUUUUUGUAUGUACUUGAUGAAUUAGGAUCGGCUAACUCCGUGCCAGCAGCCGCGGUAAUACGGAGGAUCCGAGCGUUAUCCGGAUUUAUUGGGGUUAAAGGGAGCGUAGAUGGGUUGUUCAGUAAGUUGUGAAAGUUGUCGGCUCAACAGUAAAAUUGCAAUUGAUACUGGCAGUCUUGAGUACAGUUGAUGUAGGCGGAAUUCGUGGUGUAGCAGUGAAAUGCUUAGAUAUCACGAAGAACUCCGAUUGCGAAGGCAGCUUACUAAACUGCCACUGACAUUGAUGCUCGAAAGUGUGGGUAUCAAACAUGAUUAGAUACCCGGGUAGUC